rnacentral:tRNA from 1 species
CGAGGUGUUCGUCGGUGGGCAGGAUCUCGGCCUGCCAGGCCUUGCCGGUCGCGGAGUACAGGGCGCCGAGCCGGUUCGACUCCGUCUCGUCGGC